rnacentral:lncRNA from 1 species
GAAAUAUGCCUCGUCCAAAUGGACUAUGUCAUGUGGGUAAAAGGCACAGCAGAGCACGAAGGCCUCACAACAGAAAAAAAGGCAUGGAUGUGAAAAAUACAUUUCCUGGUUGGAGGUGAUGUUCACAGUUAAAAUGAGGAGAGAGCAAAAGGGUUUUCAAGAUGAGAUGAAUUACAGAGGAAAUACUUCUCUCUGGCAGAUCUGGUUGAAAUAGUCUUGGUUUUGUGAGAGAAAUCUCCCACUUACGGGUAUCAUCUCCAGAUUUAAUAAGAUGGGCCCCGAGUUGAAUUGCUGAAGAAUGACUGAUUUCUCUCUUCCCUUGAUGUGAAGACUGAGUCUUUUGUAGGUGCCACCUCAGUGUUCCCUCCCAGAAAUCCCCUUUUGGAGUUGUAGGUUCUUCUGGUUGUGCUAUAUGGGAUGCUGCCUCAACGUGGCUUGAUGAGCAGAGCCAUGUCUGUGCCCAGGAUCCGAACCAGUGAAACCCUGGGCCGCCAAAGCAGAGUGUGCCAACUUAAUCGCUCGGCCACAGGGCUGUCCCCUCUCAGAGGAUUCUUAUCUCCAAGGCUUAAGGGUCUCACUCUGGGGGAAGCCAGCAGCCAGGAUGUAAGGACACUCAGGAAGCCCUAUGGAGAAACCCACAUGCUACAGCAUUAAGCAACAAUCGUAUUUUCUUGAAGGAAGCUCACUGCAUGCAGUUGUUCCCAAGGAUAUCAUGAAUCCUGUAGCAUCAGGAAACGAAUUUGAACAGCAGCCUGAGGGAGCUUGGAAGUGGAUCCUUCCCUGGUUGAGUUUCUGCUGCGAAGAUGUUUCUGGCCAAGACCUUGAUCACAGCCUGUGAAAUUCUAAGCAAAGGAACCAAGAACACCUACCAUACCCGAAAUGUAUGUUAGAAGAUGGAGGAGAAUAAGAGCUCGACGUGCCCUCAGGGAGCCCUUGAUCAAGGAGGAGACGUGAGACCUGACCUGGCGUGCAUUCACACAGGCAUAAUAACAGAUAUUAUUUGAUGAAUUUACUGAGGAGGAGACGAAUCUUUAAGUGCCUGCCAUGCUUUUAGUGACUUCUGAGAAGAGCAGCCACAGAAGUUCCUGACGUGUACAUUUCCAGGUUUGCUUGUGACUGUGUGACUGCAAGUGGAAGGUUCCUCCAUGUCUCAUCUUUAUGUGGGGCACACAGCUGUCAUGGAUGCUAAGGAACUCUAGGAACCUGCUAGAAGAAAGAAGAAUGCCCAGUUCUGGUUCUACCACUGCCCUUUAACGUUCAGAGUGGAGAGGAGUCCAGCCUCCUAACAAUGAAGAUUUUCCAACUUCCCAGUAUGGUUCAGGUGUCACUGUCUUCUGGUCAGCCGUGGCCAGAGAGAAUUUUCUUCACGCUCCUAAUAUCCUCAGCAAAUCUUUUCAUUAUGGGAUGUGUAAAGCGCAAGAUCGGCCCGGCUCCAGUUCAAGGGAUUGCAAAUUCUGACUCAGUGGAGCAAGGUUUGAUGAGGUAUUCCCUGCACACAGCAACCCCCCGCAGAGCACGUAACCUUUCUUGCACCAAAAUAAUGAACCCGCGUGUAUUUGCUGAUCUUCUAAAGGCAGCGUAUCUCAUUGUCCCAACCUCUGCAAAAGACAUGAGGGUGUGUCUUCCUUUGGCCCCAUCUUUAAAUCACCUCUAGCCCUGAAGUGCCAGCCUGUCCCCAGGCGGCAGGGAGAAGGGGCUCCUGUUAUCUGGCUUUGCUGAUAUGCCAAGCUAAUGGCACGAAGCUCUCUUGGCCGUCCAGAAUGGAAGAAACAGAACACCAAUUUAAAUCAUGAAAAAAGUCAGUGAAUCUAUCAUCAUUAAUCUUGCUGUCACUUUUAAUUUUGGGGACAUUACCUCACUCAACACCAGUUGAAAAGAGCUGCCAAAACCGAUGAUGUCAUCAUCACUAGCCGCGUCUGACCCUGCCUGCUGAUUCUCAGAGCUCGGAGCAAGUUAAUAAAUCCCUUGGCACUUGGACACACAGUGGAGUUUUAUUACAAUGAAGGUAUAACCCAUGAUGUUGUUUCAAUUAAAUGGCCUGAGAAAAUACUUUCUUGUGUUUAGCAAAACUGUAAAACGUAAUUAUCCUCAUGCAGUUGGGUCUGUUCAUUGUGCUGACGUGAUGAUUAUAUAUUCUCUUCCCCACGCUUCACUCUCUCUCUCACACAUACACACACGCACACACACACACACAUACACAAACACACACAAACAAUAUCACAGAGGAGUGAAAGGAAUUCCAAACAUGACUCUGAAGGUAGCUGAAUAUUCCACACAAAUACCUUUUCUAGGUCACCACCUAGAGACCUGGCAGGUUGCUGCACAGCUACAUAACUACAUCGAGGUGUCCAAGAUCCUUUUGUGUGAGGAGCAGUUGGAGGAAGUCUGGGGCAUGGCAUUUGAACUCUCAGUCAGAGCAGAACGUUGACUCUCUUAAAACAGGGCAGAUGCAUUGGAGAAAACCUGGGCACCAACAGCUGCUCACUCAAAACUCAGACUUUGUUGCUCUUCAAAUAUUUAUGAAUAAUUUCCUUUGACAUGUUUGCUAACUGUCAAGGAUAUUAGUUUUUGCUGGUUCUUACUCACUGCCCGUCUGAAGUCACCUGGCCUAACUCUCCUGUGAAGUCAUCCCUCUGAACGGGCGCCAUUGUGUCAGGGGCAUUACUGUAGCAUCAGCACACGGGACUGUAAACACAGGCCUUGGCGGAUCCCUGGCAUUUCAGCUGGAGGAGAGCUGGGCAGUAAGGUGAGAAGGCUCUUUCCUUCCAGCCCAAUUUUCUUUUAAGCAAUAUGGCAAGUUUAGAGGACACCACACUUGGUACAUGACGUAGAUGAGCAAUGUUUUCAAACACUCCUUUGGCAUGAUUAUCUCCUCUCUUAAGCAUCGUCUAUAGAAGAUUAGGUGUAUGUGACUGCAUGAAUGUAGACAUGGGCACACAUACACAGACAUUUUAGUUUUUGAGCAUAAUGAGAAUUGGUAAGGAUCAGAAGCUGCCCCAAGUCCCCACGAGUCCUUUCCCUCUGUCUUAUUCCAAGUGACUCCUCCUAAACUCUUCUUUUCUCCCACCCCAGCAAGCUCCCCUAAAUGGCUCUCAUCAAUCAUGCCACAUGGUACAGUUGGCUUUGCACAGAGCACAAAUGAGGAUGAGGGAAAGACCCCCAAGCUCAUUUUUCAUGCUCAUCUCGAACAGGAACAGAUCCUAGGCCUCCAGGGGUGAGCGAGCAGUACACAAAUUCACUGUCCCUUUUGCCCUCCCAGAUCAAGGCCCUUGGAUAUUCUUUAUUAUUAUUUUUAAUGGUCUAAUAUAAAGUAUAUCCAUUCACAAGAUACAUUGCCUGAUGUAAGAAUCCAUAACUGCAUCCUGUUAACAAUUCCUGCUGUUUAUGGGGUAUUGUCUU